UACGUAGGAUGCAAGCGUUGCUCGGAAUUACUGGGCGUAAAGGGCGCGUAGGUGGUCCUGUAAGUCAGAUGUGAAAUCCCUUGGCUUAACCGGGGAAUUGCAUUUGAAACUGUGGGACUUGAGUACGGGAGAGGGGAGUGGAAUUCCUGGUGUAGCGGUGAAAUGCGUAGAUAUCAGGAAGAACACCUGUGGCGAAGGCGAUUCUCUGGACCGAUACUGACACUGAGGCGCGAAAGCGUGGGUAGCAAACAGG
rnacentral:rRNA from 1 species